UACCCCCCCCCCCGCACCUUCUUCGCUCAAGGAUGUCAUGUACCUGGAUUAGUUAAAAGGAGAGAAAAGAAGGAAAAGGAGAAAUGAAGGAAAAUAAGUAAAAAUAGGUACCAAAAUAGGAAUGAUAGAUAAUGGAAGGUAAGAAUAAGUAAUAAAAUAAAAGAAUAGGAUAAGAAUAAAAGAAAGAAGGGAAAAUGAGAGAUGCAAUAAAGGUUCCUGUAGUAGUAGUAGUAGUAGUAGUAGUAGUAGUAGUAGUAGUAGUAGUAAUAAAAGCUGAUGAAGUAGAAAAAAAGGCUUAAAAACGGUCAUAAUUUAAUUCCAUUGUUUACUUUGAACCCCGAACUAUGCAUUAUUAUUAUUAUUAUUAUUAUUAUUAUUAUUAUUAUUAUUAUUAUUAUUAUUAUUAUUAUUAUUAUUAUUAUUAUUAUUAUUACUGUUAUCAUCAGCAGCACUAAAAGUCGAGUGAUAAAGGUCGAGAGAGAGAGAGAGAGAGAGAGAGAGAGAGAGAGAGAGAGAGAGAGAGAGAGAGAGAGAGAGAGAGAGAGAGAGAGAGAGAGAGAGAGAGAGAGAGAGAGAGAGAGAGAGAGAGGUUACGUUAGUACUGCGUAGGGAGACAAAAAUGGGGGGGGGAGAAGGGGUAUGAAAAGGAAAGGUCACGUUGGCUGGGGUACAAGAUCUCUCUCUACCUGUACACCUUUUUUGGGUCAACGAUAAUUAUUACGAGACGCACCUGAGAGUAAAGGUAAGUGUGUGUGUGUGUGUGUGUGUGUGUGUGUGUGUGUGUGUGUGUGUACGAUAUACAGUUCGAUUCUUGGAACUAGCCACUGCACUUUACUCCUCCUCCUCCUCCUCCUCCUCCUCCUCCUCCUCCUCUUCCCCUCUUCUCCCUCCCUUGCUACUCACUGUCCUCCCUUCUCUCCUCCCCUCUUUUCCCUCCCUCCUCACUGUCCUUGUUAAACCACCUACUCCAUCCUCUUCUACUCUUCCCCUCCUCCUCCUCCUCCCUCUUCUCCCUCCCUCCCCUUCUCUGCUCACCGUCCUUGUCUCACCCACCUGCCUCAACCCUUCUCUCCCUCCCUCUCUCUCUAGCUCGCUCGCCUUCGUUCGUCCUCUCUCUCUCUCGUGCCUUUGUUCUCGAGGCGAUGGACGGGAGGGGCAAGGGACAAAGAAAUGCCAAUGGUCGAGAGGUGAUGAGGUUUGGAGGUUAACGUUCAGUUUUGCGAUGCUGUUUGGUCUUUGUUCGGGGUCUCUGACAGUCUACCUUUCUGUCUAUCUAUUUCCUCAACCUAUCCCUAUGUAUUCCUAUGUAUAUUCCUAUGUAUCCCCUUUCUCUCUAUUGUAAGUUUGAUAAUGUAUAUGUUCUUAUCUCUAGCUACUGAAGAUUGGGUGUUUUUCGUUGAGUUUUGCGAUGUUAUGGUCUGUAUUUGGGGUCUUUCUAUCUAUCUAUCUAUCUAUCUCCAUUACCUAUCCCUUUCUCUCUAUUGCAAUGUUGACGGUGUUUGUUCUUUGCUUUGGGACUUUCUAUAUCUAUCUCUCUAUCAAUUUGUCUAUCUAUCUAUGUAUUUCCUUAACCUGUCCCCUAUCCUUCUCUCUAUUGCAAGUUUGUCGGUGUAUCUUUAUAUGUUUCCUGUUUUAGAUAUGUAGCCUUCUGUCUAUCUUUCUAUCUAUCUAUCUAUCUAUCUAUCUAUCUUUAACCUAUCCUCUCUCUCUCUCUAUUGCACUCUUUUCUUGGCCCUUAUUAACUAAACGACUAAUCUUCUUGUCUAUCUUGGUUAUUUGUCACUUUCUUCUUCGUCCACUUUUUUUUCUCAUGAUUUACUUCGUUUCAUUCUAUUUACUAUCCAUGUUUUUGUUUCUUCCUUUCUCUUCCUCCUCCUUAUUUUUCUCUCUUACUAUUAGUGUCUGUGUCCUCCUUCCUCCUCCUCCUUCUCCUCCUCUCACUUAACCUUUCAUCCGUUCUGCUUCAUAUCAUUCCUUCAUUAUCUAUACUGAUUGACUCCUCCCUCCAAACCCUGUAUCUGUCCCAACGCGUCAUGUACAACGUCAAUCAUUACGUCUUAUCUAUUCAUUCAUCAACGUCCCUCCUCCCACACAUUCUUUAUCUCUCAAUCAAGCGUGUACUAUAUUCUCACUUCCGUCGCAAGUCUGUAUCCCAUGGCACGCUAAUUUGCUAUCAUUAUGAAAUAACACCCGCUAUCUAAUCCUCAAUCUGCCUUUACAAGUGUUCUCUCUUUCUCUAAUUCGUUUCAGAUCUUCCUUAGUGAUGCGUGUAUACUACCUCAUUUACAAGUUUUUUUUUCUCAUAACAUACAAAUUUGCUAUUAUUAUGCAUUCACACUUGUGCUACUUAAUCGUCUAUCCGCAUUUACAAGUGUUUUCUCUUUCUCUAAUUCGUUUCAGAUCUUCCUUAGUGAUGCGUGUACCUCUUCCUCAUUCGCAAGGUUUUCCUAAUAACACACAAAUUUGCUAUCAUUACGCAUUCACAGAAGUGCUAUCUAAUCGUCUAUCCACAUUUACAAGUGUUCUCUCUUUCUCUAAUUCGUUUCAGAUCUUCCUUAGUGCUGCGUGUUUACUACCUCCUCAUUUACAAGUUUUUUUCUCAUAACACACAAAUUUGCUAUCAUUAUGCAUUCACAGAAGUGCUAUCCAAUCGUCUAUCCGUAUUUACACAUGUUUUCUCUUUUUCUAAUUAAUUUCAGUGAUACGUGUUCUACCUCAUUUGCAAGGUUUUCCUAAUAACAUACAAAUUUGCUAUCAUUAUGCAUUCACACGUGUGCUAUCUAAUCAUCGAUCUGUAUUUGCACGCAUGUAUUCUCGUUCUCUAUACUUAUAUAUCAUCUCCCUCCCCGACCCGGCAAAUAAAAUCAGGUCAGUCGGUUAAGUAUGCACCCUCCCUCUUUCGUUCGUGACACUCCCCUUUCCAAAAUCAACCCUAUCUCAACCUAUUUGCCCAUAGACGAAGUGAAGUGUCAAUCCGAUCUGGAGUGAAGUGUAAGUCCAUAAAACGCUGUAAAAAAUAAUGUUGGCUUCGUUAUUAAAACUGCUAAAAUCCGCAGUUAGUAUAAAAUUAUGUGAGUGAAUCUUGAGGUGCUGUUGCGAUCAUAAGAGCGACAAUAUAAAGUAUACAUAGAAGAUAACAUACGCAGAUAAACAUGAAUUAAUAUAGGUCGGUAUAAAAAAAAAACUUACUUAGAAAUGUUGAAGACUGUAGUUAGUAUACGUGAACUUUAGGUGUUAUUGCGAUCACAAGUGCGACAAUAAAGAGAACAAAGAAGUUAUAGAAGCAAAUAAACAAAGAAAUGAAUAAAGGUCGGUCAAAAAUAAUGUUGACUUGAAAAUACUGAAGACUUUGGAGAGUAUAUGUGAAUCUUGAGGUGCCAUUGCUAUCACAAGCACUACAGUUGAAUACACAUAAAAGGACACACAUAUAUACGCAAAUAACCAAAUAAAGAAAUAAAUGCCAAUCAAAAUGUCAGCCAAUGCUCAGAGCGGUUCAAAGAGCAGUCUCAAAAUGCCAAGGACCUUCGGGUGAUGGGGAAAAAAAUCAAUGACGUUACUAAGGAAGAAAAAGGAAAAAAAGAACGUAGACUGCAGACACAUCACAGUUAUAAUAUUCCCAUCAGACGAGAGAGAGAGAGAGAGAGAGAGAGAGAGAGAGAGAGAGAGAGAGAGAGAGAGAGAGAGAGAGAGAGAGAGAGAGAGAGAGAGAGAGAGAGAGAGAGAGAGAGAGAGAGAGAGAGAGAGAGAGAGAGAGAGAGAGAGAGAGAGAGAGAGAGAGAGAGAGAGAGAGAGGAAAUACAUAGAUAGAUAGAUAGAAAAACAGAAAUAGACCCAAAACAGAAAACAUAACAUCACAAAGAAAAAAAGAAAACGUAAGAUAAUAAAAGUGAAUGAACAAUUAAUGAAUGUUGGAUAGACACAAAACACUCACGUAGUAAAUAUAAAAGAUUAAAAACAUGAGCAGGCAAGGAAAGUUAAGUCAAUUAUGAAAGCAAAACAAAACAAAAAUAAAGUCAUCCAACGAAACAACGAAAUACCGAAGUAGAGUAAUGAAAAUGUACAUGGCUAACAAAAACUAAGUAAAUAAAACAUACGAACACAAGGUAAAACUACAGAACAUA